UACGGAGGAGCUAGCGUUGUUCGGAAAUACUGGGCGUAAAGCGCACGUAGGCGGCGCAGCAAGUCAGGGGUGAAAUCCCGGGGCUCAACCCCGGAACUGCCCUUGAAACUGCAGUGCUAGAAUCUUGGAGAGGCGAGUGGAAUUCCGAGUGUAGAGGUGAAAUUCGUAGAUAUUCGGAAGAACACCAGUGGCGAAGGCGACUCGCUGGACAAGUAUUGACGCUGAGGUGCGAAAGCGUGGGGAGCAAACAGG
rnacentral:rRNA from 1 species